GUUAUCAAUUACCCAGUGUAUAUAUGCUGGUACACGACAUUAGAAUUAAUAGAACUAAACGAAACGUUAAGCUGUCGAUAUCGCCAAUAUACUGCAAGAUGUCCAAGUACUUGAUACUGUUGUUUUUAUGUGCAUUUAUUGCAACUGCAUAUGCAUGUAAAUCUAUGAUAGAACCAUGUGAAUCGAAUGGUGAGUGCUGUACUAAUAAAUGCAGUAGAACGCCAGUGUCAUCUUUCAGAGUGUGUGUCCAAGACAUUUUUCCGUACUCCUAUUGAAAAUGUUGCAACUGGAACACUCAGAGCCAUCGGAAGAUCAGCAUGAACUCGAAUGACUAUUUAAUUUUUUGUAAUGUUGUUUAUCCAAAUGUAUUGACAACAGUUGAUUUUAUUAGUUUAUUUAGUGUAUUAGUAAUUAAUGAAAGAAAAUAAUAAAAGUACUUCAACAGA